UCCAAGCAGGGGGUCGGCUGAGGUAAAUCAUUCAUUUAUAAACUACACACAAGAUAGCUUAGGUGUCAGCAAAGAGUCUAUACGGCGUGAGAAGUGUUAUCAAUUGGUGUAGCCUACGGGAAUAAGUAGUAACUCGGGUGAAAUGGACGAAGGAAAAUCAAAGAUGAGAAAGUUGGUUGCUCCACAGGUGCCUCCUCUGAAGGCUCCUCACUACGCAGGCACUAGUGCUGUAUUUGCAGACUCCCACAACUCCUACCACAGCCUGGGCCACUGCAUGCGCACCGACAUCUUCCCAGGGGCACCGUCGGAGUGGUCAUCCCUUGUGAAGGACUCCUACAUGAGUCACCCUUUGCCACCCACCCCCAUUGACCCCCAGAAGUGGUAUGGCCGAAAGACUGACGACAUGGGUAUGAUGAUUCUCCUCCACCCUUCCUUCCAUACAUGCCACUUCUCACUGAUGUGAGCUAUUUAUGUGAGGUGGACAGAGAGAAACAUUGUGAACCAGCGACUAAAGAAGGCUCUGAUGGCAAUGGACAAGAAGGGUGGAGGCACCUAAGCUGCUUGUGCUUUUCACACCUUGCUCACCGCAGAAGUUAUGUUUUACACUUUCUGCAAGCAAGCAUUUCCUUCUGGUCCCACCGCAUAUAUAUAUACAACACUCCACCUACACACCCAUAUAAAUACACAUACCCACAUAUAUACAACACUCCACCUACACACCUAGCCAUCCACCCAUGUACACACACAUAUGCAAACAUUCUACUCUCAAACAAGUGAUCUCACAACACCUCACUCCUUUCACAACCUAGACCAAAAUAAAUGUCAAUUCUAGCUUA